rnacentral:rRNA from 1 species
GACGGGGGGGGCAAGUGUUCUUCGGAAUGACUGGGCGUAAAGGGCACGUAGGCGGUGAAUCGGGUUGAAAGUGAAAGUCGCCAAAAAGUGGCGGAAUGCUCUCGAAACCAAUUCACUUGAGUGAGACAGAGGAGAGUGGAAUUUCGUGUGUAGGGGUGAAAUCCGUAAAUAUACGAAGGAACGCCAAAAGCGAAGGCAGCUCUCUGGGCCGGUACUGACACUGAGGAGCGAAAGCGUGGGUAGCAAACAGG